rnacentral:tmRNA from 1 species
GGGGGCGACAUUGGCUUCGACGGGGGCGCGAAGUCGUGGGAUGCAUGCCGAGCACCAUUAACUCGUAAAUCUGAUGGAACAUCCGUUAACUGCGGAUUCUCAGUACGCUCUCGCAGCCUAAUUAAGCUGUGAGCAUCUGCCCUGACCUCGCCUGGUGGUUGGGGGUCAGAUGUCAUAAAACAGGCUGGUUCCCGGAUGGCGGCUCGGCGUCCGGGGGCGAGAUUUUCCGGGUCUGGCGCCUGGCGGUUCUGGCCGCUUCCACACGUCGGGCGCGAGACAACAGAAGCGGACACGCAUGUAGAGUCCUGCGAGGCCGUGCUUUCGGACGCGGGUUCGACUCCCGCCGCCUCCACCA